rnacentral:rRNA from 1 species
UUUAAUGAGAGUUUGAUCCUGGCUCAGGACGAACGCUGGCGGCGUGCCUAAUACAUGCAAGUAGAACGCUGAGGUUUGGUGUUUACACUAGACUGAUGAGUUGCGAACGGGUGAGUAACGCGUAGGUAACCUGCCUCAUAGCGGGGGAUAACUAUUGGAAACGAUAGCUAAUACCGCAUAAGAGUAAUUAACACAUGUU